rnacentral:rRNA from 1 species
CAUGGCUCAGAUUGAACGCUGGCGGCGUGCUUAACACAUGCAAGUCGAUCGGUAACAGGUGUAGCAAUACAUGCUGACGAGAGGCGGACGGGUGAGGAAUAUUUGGGAAUCUGCCCAUCAGCGGGGGACAACCCGGGGAAACUCGGGCUAAUACCGCAUACGCUCUACGGAGGAAAGCCGGGGACCGCAAGGCCUGGCACUGAUGGAUGAGCCCAAAUCGGAUUAGCUAGUUGGCGGGGUAACGGCCCACCAAGGCGUCGAUCCGUAGCUGGUCUGAGAGGACGAUCAGCCACACCGGAACUGAGACACGGUCCGGACUCCUACGGGAGGCAGCAGUGGGGAAUAUUGGACAAUGGGGGAAACCCUGAUCCAGCGACGCCGCGUGGGUGAAGAAGGCCUGCGGGUUGUAAAGCCCUUUUGGUAGGGACGAAAACUCUUGCCCUAACAAGGCAGGAGCUUGACUUAACCUACAUAAGAAGCACCGGCUAACUCUGUGCCAGCAGCCGCGGUAAUACAGAGGGUGCGAGCGUUAAUCGGAAUUACUGGGCGUAAAGCGCACGUAGGCGGCUUUGUAAGUCGGAUGUGAAAUCCCCGGGCUCAACCUGGGAACUGCACCCGAAACUACAUUGCUAGAGUAUGGGAGAGGGAGGCGGAAUUUCCGGUGUAGCAGUGAAAUGCGUAGAUAUCGGAAGGAACAUCAGUGGCGAAGGCGGCCUCCUGGACCAAUACUGACGCUCAGGUGCGAAAGCGUGGGGAGCAAACAGGAUUAGAUACCCUGGUAGUCCACGCCCUAAACGAUGAGAACUGGAUGUCGGGAGGGUUUGCCUUCCGGUGUCGUAGCUAACGCGAUAAGUUCUCCGCCUGGGAAGUACG